rnacentral:misc_RNA from 1 species
GUAUUGUAUUGCGUUAAACGCGGUGUACAUUCCAUGAGACUAUUACGUUGUGUGUUGUAAAGAUGCAGAACCACAGCAGGAGGACAGAGUCCCCCACACCAUAGAACUACAGUGGGUGCACAGGUGUGAGUGGAUGUGUGAACAGAGCGUGCACAUGCCCUCGAUUUGAGGACCAGCAACAACUCGUGUUUACAGUUCAGUAAUGAUCCUUCCGCAGGUUCACCUACGGAAA